AGUAAUACAUCGGAACGUGUCCCGUAGUGGGGGAUAGCCCGGCGAAAGCCGGAUUAAUACCGCAUAUGCUCUACGGAGGAAAGUGGGGGACUCGCAAGGGCCUCACGCUAUGGGAGCGGCCGAUGUCCGAUUAGCUUGUUGGCGGGGUAAUGGCCCCACCAAGGCGACGAUCGGUAGCUGGUCUGAGAGGAUGAUCAGCCACACUGGGACUGAGACACGGCCCAG
rnacentral:rRNA from 1 species